AACGCUAGCUACAGGCUUAACACAUGCAAGUCGAGGGGCAGCAUUAUCGAAGCUUGCUUUGAUAGAUGGCGACCGGCGCACGGGUGAGUAACGCGUAUCCAACCUUCCCCAUAGUCAGGAAUAGCCCGGCGAAAGUCGAAUUAAUGCCUGAUGUUUUCCACGGACGGCAUCUGAUGUGGAACAAAGAUUCAUCGCUAUGGGAUGGGGAUGCGUCUGAUUAGCUUGUUGGCGGGGUAACGGCCCACCAAGGCAACGAUCAGUAGGGGUUCUGAGAGGAAGGUCCCCCACAUUGGAACUGAGACACGGUCCAAACUCCUACGGGAGGCAGCAGUGAGGAAUAUUGGUCAAUGGGCGGAAGCCUGAACCAGCCAAGUAGCGUGAGGGAUGACUGCCCUAUGGGUUGUAAACCUCUUUUAUAAGGGAAUAAAAUACGGGACGUGUCCUGUUUUGCAUGUACCUUAUGAAUAAGGACCGGCUAAUUCCGUGCCAGCAGCCGCGGUAAUACGGAAGGUCCGGGCGUUAUCCGGAUUUAUUGGGUUUAAAGGGAGCGCAGGCGGUCUUAUAAGCGUGACGUGAAAUGCAGCGGCUCAACCGUAUGAUGUGCGUCGCGAACUGUGAGACUUGAGUGUAUUCGAUGUCAGCGGAAUUUGUGGUGUAGCGGUGAAAUGCUUAGAUAUCACGAAGAACUCCGAUUG
rnacentral:rRNA from 2 species